GGAAAGGAGCUAGCUGGCAGCUCCUGUAACAGCUAAGGCUAUAUGUACUCAUUGUCAGGUCAGCAUAAAAAAUCAACAUUGCUGGCAGCUCCUGUAACAGCUAUGCCACAUAAAAAAUAAAAAAUCAACAUUGCAAUUGUCAGGUCAGUAGACAAUUGCAAUUGUCAGGUCAGUAGACAAUUGCUCGAUGAUUGGAGCAUUGCAAAAAUAGAUUGUGCAACGUAAUGGUGGCUAGAGUAUAACCAAUCCAGGCUAUAUUCAGGAACUAUAACCAAUCCAAGCCAUAUUCAGGAACUAUAACCAAUCCAGGCUAUAUUUAGGAACUAUAACCAAUCCAGGCCAUAUUCAGGAACUAUCUCGCAGGGUACUAUACUGUCCACUCAAAGCAUACCACUAUCAAAGCAAACAAAGCAUAAGGAACCUAUCAGAGAAAACCAGAAAUGCUUACACAGACAGACAGACUACUGUUAGCAACUGUUCAUUUAUUUCACAAAGCAAGCAAGCAAGCAAGCAAAAGAGGAAACAAUAAUCCAUGGAUGCACUUCUGUUCAUUUAAUUAGUUAGCAACUGUUCAUUUAUUCCACCCCCAAGCAACAUCUGUUUAUAACAUGUGACAGCAACAUCUAAAAUCAUCUCUAAAAUCCAAUCCAAUCCACCGCGAC
rnacentral:lncRNA from 1 species